rfam:Ictidomys tridecemlineatus contig075967, whole genome shotgun sequence.
AUACAUACAGCUCAGUAGUAGAGCACUUGCUUAGCAUGGAUGAUGUCCUGGGUUCAAUCCCCUUUGUGUAUA